rnacentral:tRNA from 1 species
GGGGUUGUGGCUUAGUGGUAGAGUGCUCACCUCGAAAGUGCGAGACCCUGGGUUCGAUUCUCAGCACCA